CUUUUUUUUCUUUCUUUUUUUUUUUUUUUUGGUCUUUUUGCCAUUUCUUGGGCCUCUCCCACGGCAUAUGGAGGUUUCCAGGCUGGGGGCGAAUCAGAGCUGCAGCUGCUGGCCUGUGCCGCAGCCACAGCCACGCCGGAUCCAAGCUGAGUCUUUGACCUGCACCACAGCUCAUGGCAAUGCACAUCCUCGUGGAUACCAGUCGGGUUCCUUACCGCUGAGCCAUGAAGGGAACUCCUGCUUCAGCUUGUGAAAAACGUUCUUUCGUAUCUUUUUUUUAUUGGAUUCUACAUAAAAGUGAUGCCACAGGGCCUUAGUCUUUCUCUGUCUGACUUUACUCAGUGUGGUCAUUUCUAGGUCCAUCCAUGUUGCUACACAUAUGCCCUGGCUUCUCAUCUUGGCUUCUCCCUCUGACUCUGCUCCCAACCCUGUCUUUUGCGCCUCAGCACGUUUAAGACAGGAGUGGCCACCCCGGUCCCUGCUCUCUGGGGCCCCAGGUGCCUUGUUGCUACUUCUUGGCAUAGGUACCCUGUUUCUCUUCUUCCCCUGUUGGGGGACUCCUUGGGGGUGUCCUCGAGGCAGGAGUGGCCGCUCGAGUCCCUAGUUCCCUGAGCCUCUCCCCCAGGGCCCCGCACAGACUGGCCUCCGUGUGAGGUUAUUUCACCUUCCAGAGGGGGAGCUGACUGGAGGAGACCCGCUGGCUCCGGGGUCCUGCCCGACCCAGCCAGCAGGGCUGUGAGUGCCGGGGUGUCCUCCGGGACGAGGGCGAGGCAGGCGGGCUCCCAGGAGGCCUUUGCCUUCAGGGCCAACGGGUGUCGUUCUCCACGCCGGGCUCUCGGCUCUGGGGCUUCUCUGUUCUCGUGCGCCUCCAUGCUUGUCUCUUGUGCCCUGAGUCCCGGCCGAGAUCCUCUGCUGCCGCAGGAGAGAGUAGUGCCGCGCAGCCUCUGGUGGUGGGUUUGUCCCCCAGGGGACGUCGGGCCGUGGCUGCAGCCUCGUCUGAGUGUCAGGCCUGGGGUGUGGGUGGGGCCGGCUUCUAGGGCUGGAGUCCCGGGGUGCCACUCCGCACCCCAGGAUGGCCGGGAUGGUCCCGCUCAGCAGAGGGCUCCCCAGCCCCCAGUGGCAGGGGUGCCAGGCCUGCGAAACAGCAGCUUGAGGAGGGCUGUCCGUCCAGGGCUCAGGGGAAGCCAUGCCCGCGCUCAGAGAACUGGGGUUAUGGUCUGUGUCAAGGAGUGGAGGUGGCACAAAAGUAGGAAACGUUUGGCAUUGCUAGGUAGUUUACAACCAACUUUUGAAAGUACAACAGUCAACUCUCUGGCGCUGCCGACCUCUUCACUCCUGUUCCCGUGCUCGCCUGGAGCCCCCUGUGCUCCAGACUCUUGCUGUUUCCUUGCGCAGCCCUGACACACUUGCCUCAGGCCUCUGCGGGGGCUGUUCUCUGCCUGGCGGGUGUUCUUGGGCAUUUUGUCUUUUCCCGGGGCCCCCCUGGCCCAGCACUGUCACCCCCAGGCCUCAUGGAACCGCCCCAUCCCUCUCACUUGAUCUCAUAAACCUAUUCAUAACCUUAGCCAGUUGUUCUCAAGCAGAGAUGCUGCUGCUCCCAGAGGAAGCUCAGCAACAUCUGGGGCUGGUUUUGGUUGUGACAGCCACUUGGGUGUGGCUGCUGUUAACCACCUGGAGUGGGUGGAGGGCCUGGAAUGCACUAAACACCCUUAGGAUUCACAGGCCAGCUUCCUCCCCAUCCUCCCAACGAGAUUAUCUUGACUGAACAGUCCUGCUCCGUGAAGAAACCGUGUUUCAGAGGGUGCAGGGACACGUCUUCAGCUGGCAUUGCCAGGCACCCUCAUGUAUCCAGUCCAUCACUUUGCUGCCUCCUGAAUGUGUUUGAUGGAAAUUCAGGGUUUACUGCUCAUUCUUUUUUCUUGUUUUAAGGGCUCAUUCUUAAGAUA
rnacentral:lncRNA from 1 species